rnacentral:lncRNA from 1 species
GAACCACAAGCAAACUGCAAUCUCCAAUUUAGAAGAGUACCUGUACCUCAGCGAGGAGGUUUUUUCCCCCCCUUGGUUGUUAACACCAGCUGUAUUUUUGUCUAUCUAGGUUCAAACUUAUUUUUUCAAGACUAGCGGGGGGAAUAUAAACAAACCACAAGGACUGGCCGAAGAAUCAUUUUGGGCUGGGGUCAUGGCUUCCAACAGCAUAUUUGACUCGUUUGCAACCUAUUCAUCAACCUUCCUCCGUGGCGGCAGGGCUGCCUGUCGGCUCCAGACACGUUUCGCUGUCGGUGGCAGUCGUGUUCGCAGGGUGGGAUUCAGA